rnacentral:tRNA from 1 species
AGAGAGGUUACUGGACUGGAAUGCCAGAGACCUGGGUUUUAUUCCUAGCUUCUCUA